rnacentral:rRNA from 1 species
GAUGAACGCUGGCGGUCUGCUUAACACAUGCAAGUCGAACGGAACCUUUCGGGGUUUAGUGGCGGACGGGUGAGUAACGCGUGAGGAUCUGCCUUCAGGUUGGGGACAACAGUUGGAAACGGCUGCUAAUACCCAAUGUGCCGAGAGGUAAAAGCUUUAGUGCCUGAAGAUGAGCUCGCGUCUGAUUAGCUAGUUGGUGGGGUAAGGGCCUACCAAGGCGACGAUCAGUAGCUGGUCUGAGAGGAUGAUCAGCCACACUGGGACUGAGACACGGCCCAGACUCCUACGGGAGGCAGCAGUGGGGAAUUUUCCGCAAUGGGCGCAAGCCUGACGGAGCAAGACCGCGUGAGGGAGGAAGGCUCUUGGGUUGUAAACCUCUUUUAUCAGGGAAGAACACAAUGACGGUACCUGAUGAAUCAGCAUCGGCUAACUCCGUGCCAGCAGCCGCGGUAAUACGGAGGAUGCAAGCGUUAUCCGGAUUUAUUGGGCGUAAAGCGUCCGCAGGUGGUUUAACAAGUCUGCUGUUAAAGGUCAGAGCUUAACUCUGUCACGGCGGUGGAAACUGUUAGACUUGAGUAUGGUAGGGGUAGCGGGAAUUCCCAGUGUAGCGGUGAAAUGCGUAGAUAUUGGGAAGAACACCAGCGGCGAAAGCGCGCUACUGGGCCAUUACUGACACUCAUGGACGAAAGCUAGGGGAGCGAAAGGGAUUAGAUACCCCUGUA